GUCUUCGCUGCCUCGGCAGCCUCAGGCGCUUCAGCCGCGUCGCGGGUCGCCUCAGGCGCGCGGGCCGCGAUGUCUUCCCGGCCGGGGCGUGACGACGCGCGAACCGGAGGCGCGCGGCGGCCGCGGGAGUCGGCCGAGCAGGAGCUGCAGCGGCGCCGAGAGCAGAAGCGGCGGCGGCACGACGCGCAGCAGCUGCAGCAGCUCAAGCACCUGGAGUCCUUUUAUGAAAAACCUCCUCCGGGGCUUAUCAAGGAAGAUGAGACUAAGCCGGAAGACUGUAUACCAGAUGUACCAGGCAACGAACAUGCCAGGGAAUUUCUGGCUCACGCACCAACUAAAGGACUUUGGAUGCCACUCGGGAAAGAAGUCAAAGUUAUGCAGUGUUGGCGUUGUAAACGGUACGGUCACCGAACAGGCGACAAAGAAUGCCCUUUCUUUAUCAAAGGCAACCAAAAGUUAGAACAGUUCAGAGUAGCACAUGAAGAUCCUAUGUAUGAUAUCAUACGAGAGAAUAAAAGACAUGAAAAGGACAUAAGGAUACAGCAGUUAAAACAGUUACUGGAGGAUUCCACCUCCGAUGAAGAUGGCAGCAGCUCCAGCUCCUCAGAAUGUAAAGAGAAACACAAGAAAAAGAAGAAGAAAGAAAAGCAUAAGAAAAGGAAAAAAGAAAAGAAGAAGAAGAAAAAACGAAAGCAUAAGUCUUCCAAGUCGAAUGAGAGUUCAGACUCGGACUAAAACUUGACCUAUUCCAUGUUCUCCUCUCAAAAAUCAGACACUGUGGCCCCAGGCCAGAGGGUGUGGAAUCGGGGAGGACUUGGAGACCCCAAGAGAGCAGGGCAUUCGGUGUCACACGUGUGAAUUCUCACCUGCCUUCCAGCAAAGACGUGACCCCCGGAGGACCGCUGAGCCCAUAAAGCUCAUCAAUCAAAAGUUCUUCAUCCUGAAAUCUCUCCCUUCAGACUCAGUAUUCUCCAGUCCUAUUUAGAAAAUCAAGAGAAGUCACCAGAACUCCUUCUACCAAGGGCUGUGAUAGGAUGGAAAAAAUGGAUUCCUACACACUGAUGAGAAAUGACAGCAGAGGCAAAUGAGACUUUAAGAAGACUAAAGAAUUCCAAGUCUGGGUGGAAGGGUCCUCACCUCUUCUGGCUGGCCUGGGAUGGCGGACACAGGGCUGCACGGCGUUGGGGACCCGGGCAGCGUUGCCCACAAGCCCGGGCCGCAUCUCGCACAAACAAGUCUCGGCUCCCCAAAGCAGCAGCAGCAGCAGCACGGAGUGAAGACUGAGGCCAGGAGAGAACUUGCCGCAGCGCCUCGAACGUGACAGGCUGUGCCCAGGAGCUCCACUCCAGGGCCAUCACUUAGGCCUGGCCUGCAGCGCCCUCGUCCUCAGCCUCUCGGGCGUGCCCACCGCGCCCCUUCCCCGGUCCAGAAGAGCCCAUCCCGGGGGACCCAGCCUCUCUUUACCCACGACUCACACCCCACUCCCUGUCCUGCAAGUCAGUCGCCUCCACUCCCUCGGCACCCAACCCCACCACUCACCGUGUUCGGUACGCCCACCUGCUCUAAGCCAACCUCCACAACCCGGAACGUCUCUGACACCUGGGCCUUAGCUCCCACUUUUAUAGGCUCCGCACGCUGCGCGGGCCUCCCACAGACGGCUCACGCAUGCGCCCUGGGCGAGGAUCGGAGCCUGACUGCUCCUCCCAAGGGCACCUGGAGAAGCCUUGGAGCAGUUUUCGGCACCAUGCUCGCUCCGGCGCCUGGACGCCCUGGUGUUGGCGCUUCCAGAGGACGGGUCGGUUCCCUGUCCCAUUCGCUCUCCCGGACUGUCCCUUCCAUUUGAGUGUGUUCGGUGAAGACAGCUUAUCUCCCCUGCUCUGAGCCCCUGGUCUCCUUCCUUCUUGGGCCUAACACCGCUGACACGAAGGAAGAGGAGCUGACGGAGGAAAAGGAGAGAGGAAGGAGGAGGCCAGCCUGGACC